GUCCCUCGCUGCGCACUGUAGAAGCAGGAAGAAGUGCUGUAACAUUUUAAAUACAUUGCAUGCCUGUCCUCUUUGAGAUACAACCAUUAGAAUGGAGGCUGAAACGACAAAGUUGCUUAAUAACGGCUCACGCUGCAUAUUUUUCAAUACAGAUUCAGACGACUAUCGAUGUGUGGUGAUUUUAACGGUGAAGCGAGCAACGGGCACCUUCUCAUUAGUUGGAUGCUUUUUCAUGCUGUUUGUCAUCUGGUUGCUGCGCAGGUAUCAGUCUUUGGCUCAGAAGAUGAUUCUUAGCCUGACAGUAGCAGCCUUCUUUGACAGCGCAGCAUAUGUCAUGGGCGAGUCCCAUCCGGAAGGCUUUCUGUGCGCUUUUCAGGGGCUGUGGCUCACUUACUUUGACUGGUGUGCCCUGGCCUGGGUCUGCCUCAUCACAUUUAACCUCUACCUCAACCUGGUCAGAGAGAUCAGCACCAGCAGAUAUGAGACAUUGUACCAUGUGACCGCCUGGGGGCUGCCUCUCAUCAUGGCUGUCCUGCCCUUGCUGAAGGGCUGCUACGGUCCGGCGGGAGCCUGGUGCUGGAUCACAGACAAUCACGUAGCCUGGAGAUUUGGGAUAUGGUACGUUCCUCUGUUCACCCUCAUCGUCCUGAUGAUCUGCUGCUACGCCAGGAUCAUCUUCGUGGCCAAUCGAAGGGCUCCCAGGCGCCUUCCACCCCGUGGAUCCCUCCUUCGCCCUGACACUGCUACACGUGCUGACCGCUCCGCUCCACGGCCUGGCCAACGCGUUCGUCUUCGGGCUGGACAGGGACACCUGGGGCCUGCUCAGCCCCACGGGCAUACAGCUGGCCCUGCGGUCCCGACUGUGUGACAGCACACGUAUCGGGGAGUACCACCCCGGGGCGGUGCGCUACACGCAGGCUGACCUGACGGAGGACGAGGAGGACCUGGACGCCAACGUGCUCUUCUUCUCACCCCACAUGACCCUGAAGGACCGCACGCCCUGAGAGGGGAGGAGGGAG
ensembl:lncRNA